rnacentral:misc_RNA from 1 species
AAUGAAUUAGGAGUGGGGUGAGGUAUUUAUUGACUUCUUUUGUAUUUAAAUCAUCGAUUUAGUCCGACUAGAAAUCGUCGAUUUAAUUCCGUUUGAAAUCGCCGGUUCACAGUUCUUCAAAAGAUAAGCCUGAACCAAACUGUAAAAGAGCAUUUUCAAUCUAGUUCGAAGUCAAUUUUGAUGUUGAUCGAUUUCAGUCUGAUUUUGACCAAAUUGAUUUUAAUUUGGUCUUGGUUCGAAACCAAACUAUGACCACCCGAAG